GGAGAUGUACCCAAGUGGCUGAAGGGACUGCACUCGAAAUGCAGCAGGUCGGUAUUCAAUCCGGCGCGAGGGUUCAAAUCCCUCCAUCUCCG
rnacentral:tRNA from 1 species